UUUUGUUGACUGGGCUGCAAAUAUAUUCAUUGUGGGCCACGAGUUUGACACCCUUGAUGUACAUGGAUGCAUGUAUGAGAGAAACUGUUUGAGUAAAUUAAGAAGAUGGAUGGCAAGUGUGUGCUGUAUAUUGUAUGCUAAUGAUGAUGUUCUCUUCGAGAAUGAACCAGGUUUGAGAUGCUUAUUGUACAGUUGGUUAGAGCAUACAAAAAACAAAGCUCCAUUUGUGAGUGUAACAGGAUGGCUAUACACUUGGUUAGAGCAUGUAAGAGGAAACAGAUGAGAAUAAAUACAAAGAAGAUGAAAGUAUUCAUGUUUUAUAAGGGGAGAAAGAAUGUACAACAUGUAAGAUUGAACUGAAUGAGGUGAAUUUGGAACAGAUGAAUGUGUUUGUAUACUUAGGAAGUAUGCUUGAGAGGAAGAGCUGCAUUGAUGAUGAGAUUAUGAGAAGAGCAAAUGCUGAAUUAAAAGUUGUGGGUGCA
rnacentral:lncRNA from 1 species